rnacentral:lncRNA from 1 species
GCACGUUAAUAUCUCUAUGUAAUCCCGACGUGUGGGCCUUUCUUCCAUAUUUCCUGAUAACCCCCUGCAGAAAUAGACAAACACCAAAACUCGUGGAAUUCUAUCAGAUAAAACCUUAAGUCUGGGUGUUGGUUGCAUUUGGAUCCUUUUCUUUAUUUAUUUGAUAAUUAAAUUUGAUACUUAAGGACCGUCAACAAACUCCCCCAAGCUUACCUCUUGCUCGUCCCUGAGCAAGGAUAGACUCAGCAAUGGAUUAGAAGUUGUUGCAAUAUCUUUAAAAAUUGACGGUACACAUGCUUUUUUAAAUAAGAUCUCAUCUCUGAGUUAGAGUAAACUGUCAAGACUUAAAACUUACUUUACCUUCACCAUGGGACUUGUAACCGUCACUUCUGUCUUGAGAGGUAAAAAGAUAGAACAGUCUAGCCAAGUGCCAUGUCUCUUAUUCUUGAUCAGCUAUAGCUCUGGGGUUUUUUCGCAGAUUUUCAAAUAAAACUCAGAGAUUCCUUGUAUGACUCUCUAAAUUUCUCUUUUGUGGUAUUUCUGGAUCCUUACCAAGGCAGUGAUGGUAUAUGCCUUCUCUCAAGAUAUGUGGUAUUUGUGGUAUAAGGCAUAGUGACAUUGCCUUCUCUCUCACCCUACUCUAAUAAGGUUUUGAUAUCUAGAGCUCAUAGGUGGGAGACAGCUAAUACAUACUUACAAGACAUUUAUUGCAUAGUCAAACCAUGGAUCCAGAGAAACAAAUCAAUAAGCCAAAUCAAGAUGUGCAUGUGUGGCGAAUGAAUGGUGUAUGGUGAUGAUGGUAAUAAUAAUGGUGAAAGUCUAAUUCUACUUUUGCUCUUUUGAGGGGAUACAUACCUUCCUUGCUUUUUAAAACUUUAUGAGGAGAAUGAGAUGCUCUUCUUUUUCUUUCCUCUCAGGUGGGUAUCUUGUACCCCUAAUUCUAAUGUCGGACACUUGUCCAUUUUCACCUCUCGUCUCACUUUUUCUUUCUUUCGAGGUUCCGGGCACUUGCCCCUUUUUAUUUCCUCGUUUAUAUAUAUAUUUUUUCUUCUCUUUUCUUUUUUUUCAGAGCACUCAUCUCUUGAGAUAAUAUAGCAAGUGGUAGUAACCAAAAUAUUUGGAGCAUUUAUUUCACAGGGAAUAACAGGGAUAGGAAAAUGUUUUUGACUAUUCUCUCCCGGAUUAGGAGUAGAAAAUUUUUGGGUGAUUCUGGAGAUGGAAAUGGAUGGAUAUAUGUGGAUGGUACUUCCGGAGUAGAAGUAGCAUAUAUGAGUGAACGUGCAAGUGAAUCUUGAUUUAACCACAUGACAAGCUCCUAAGGGUCUACACAGCUUGACCACACUCAAUGCUCAUAAGCAGUAAAUAGUAAAUGUGUGGCUCAAAGUCUAUCAAGCAUGUAUAUAUGGCUGUGGUAGGAAUUUAAACUCUCAUCAUACAGGAACUCAUCAUGCAAUAUUUUAAAGAUUUUUCAAUAUAAAAUUUUCCAGAAUUCUAGCAUCUAUAGGAACAGAUAAACAGCAGCUCAACCUUCCCAUAUCAUAUCCGUUAACAACUUAGACUUCAGAUCAAGUUUUCAUCCCACAAGUUUAGAUCUAGAGCAAGCUUUAAAUUAUAACAGUUAUGUCUAAACUUGAGAGGGAACUUCAAAAUUGCAAAUUAGGCAAAGCAACUAUUCAUCAUAUCCAUGCUAGAGUUUUAUUAUUAAGAUUCAGAUUAGUAUAGCCACUUUAUUUAUUUAUUAAACAUACUAAGCAAAAGAUAUAUAUAUAAGCACAAAAUCUUUAUUUGGUUUUUCAUAGUUUAUGUAUUUUAAUAUUCUAACAUAAUAUAAGUAUAAAGAUAGGUAGAAAUACUUAGCGAGAUAAAUGGGGGUGCUCUCCCCCAAGCUGAAUUUUGACGUAAUUUCUCUUGAUGUAGCUAGCAGGUGGCAGAGGUGUAUUUGAAAGUCAGCAGCGUUCUGACAGCGAUAAGAAUGUCCUCCGUCUGCUAGUCUUCUUGAUUCUUAAAUUCUGUGGAGCUCAAAUAGACAACAAAGCUUGUGGAACUAAUUAAGAGUUAGCAUAAAUAUCUAGCCUUCGUCAUGUUGAGCUUCCUUAAUAAAUGUUAUUUAUUUAGCAGGAUCAUACACUUAUUUUUUAUAUAUAUUUUUAUUGUAAGAUGAAAACUUAUUUAUUUUAUUUUUAUGCCACCACAGUGAAUGUACUUAUGGGUUUUAUGCUAUGAGCAUACUCACAUGAGGCUUACUAUUUUUUAACAUUUUUAUUUUCUUUUCAAGAUAGCAUGAACCUGAUUAACUAAGCAAACUAUUGAAUGAAAAAGGAUAACUACCAAGUUUACCUCUUGGCAAGGCGUUCGGUAUUUUUAUGUCCUCCAAACGGGACUCUCUGUUUUCUCAGUCGUCCUGGGAUUCGCUAGGUGGCGUAGUCGGUGAUUCCGGCGGCGCCUCUCUUCGUGUAUAACUAUCUUCUCCCUCCACACCUGACUCGGUGCUACGGUCUCCUCAGGACAGUUCUGUUCAAGCUGUAUGUCUUUAGUCCUUAUCACUUCUCCUUCGUAGUCUACCCAUCCGUUCUUGAUGAUUUGCCUCCUCUAGUUGCGGUUGCGUCGUCUUCUUGUCCUGACCUGCUUAGAGUCUUCAACUAUAUAGUUAUGGUCAGUAAAAUAGUUGCGUACCUUCUCAGAGGGGAAGUGCAUGUGGACUUCUCCGGUUCCAAUGUAGAUGAUUGCUUUGAUAGUGUUGAGGAACGGUCUUCCAAGGAUGGUGGGUGGAUCAUAUUCGUCUUCUCCCAUGUUAAUGACCUGAAAAUCACCUGGAGCUGAAUAUAUUGGUUGUAGGGGCAUGGUUCCAUGCAGGAGCUGAUAAGUGACUGCGGCCAUUAUGUUGUCAUCAGAUCCGGUGUCGUAGAGUGUCUUCUGAAAAGAGUAUCCAUUGAUUGCGCACUCGAUGCUUGGAACACCAGGGUCGUCCUUCUUGAUCAAGAAAGGUGACCUGAGUCAACGAUGUUGACCUCUUGCGACAAGGAUCCAAUGUUUGAAGUCUAAUGGACAAGACUUUCCACCAUCUUCAUCCUUUAGGUGCAUCAUUUGAUUAGGUGUGGACCUUGACGUCUGCACCUCUUGAUACGGUGUUACCCAUGUUCUUCUUUGCCCAGUAGUUCGAAGUAUGGUGUUGGCAAUAUCCUGCUCAGUGUGUUUGUGCUCAUAGAUCUAGGUCCUUCACUUGGUGGAGUCUUGGAGUUGUAAAACUCCUCCAUGUUUUGCUUGAAGUGUACCUGUUCAUAGAGACAAGGCAGAGAUCAACUGCAUGGGCUCUGUUGGUGGAAAACACAACAGAACCAAAAGUGUAUUUGUUCUUCUCUAACCUUAAGCAUAGUGAGCAAGACAAAGUUGAUGGAUAAUAAGAUCAUGAGUGUAGUCUUUGAAACAUUUGUCAGAUCAGAUGGCUCAACCUAAUGGAA